AUCAGUAUCUUUUUGAAAUGAAAGAGAGGGAAGGAACAACCCUCUUUCCCUGCAAAGGCCUGGUUUCACUUUAAAUUUGGUAUAUUCAACUCCUGUGUAGAUAAAUUGACAAUACUGAUGACGUUUGUGAUUAAUUAUUAAUACAACCCUUAAGAGGCUGAGCUGUGAGAUGAGACACACUAUCCAGGGUGCAAACACGGAACAAAAAUGUGGGGCAAGCACAGAGCACAAGGAGCUGGAAAGACGGGAGCAAGAUAGCUUUGGUCGGAAACAUGAAGUGAUCCUGGAAGUGAUUGUUAAAUCACUUGGGAGAUCCGUUUUCUGUUAAUGGUCCAUCAUGGUCAGCAGAACUGUGAUUUGCAUAUGAAUACCCAAACUGCAUAAGCAAAUUUGUCAGAGCCAGCCGGAAGAAAGAAAACCUGAGCACCUGGCAUUCUGAGAAGUCCUUUGCUUGUGUUCUCAGAUCACUUUUCUGUAAGAUUGAUAAGACUUGAGCUGAUUUGACCGAAACCCCUGAAAAUCGUGUUCUUACCACACGAUCAGAGAGAACUGCAGAAAUGACAAAGUUUCUUCUCCAGCAAAAACUUAAAGCAUGGUCAUACCCCAAGUUAGAUCAGCUUGUUCGGGGCCAUGACCUAGAAAAAUUUUAAAAAGUCCGACUGACAGAGAUCCCACCAUCUCUUUGGGAAUCCUGUCCUGUGGCACAGGCUUCACAAGAGAAAUAUGGACUGGUCAUGGAACAAGUAAGACCAGACUGUCCAAAGUCAGAAAGAGAUUUCUGAAACAUUUUCCUGUCCCCGGAAAUAUAUGCAGAGCACUGCCUAUUUUUAUUAGCAGCACAAAACUUAAAAACACUUUUUUCUCUCCAGAUUACCACGACCUACCCACUUUUGGUUAGAGGUAUUGCCGCAGGCAGACGCUGGGCAGAUGCUUAUCUAGUGUAAAUCCCCACAGAUCUGUUAACUUCAGCAGGAUGCCAGCUAUUCACUGCCUUUUCAGUCUUGUUUAAAAAAAAAAAAAAAAAGACUGAAUUUGAGAAAUAAUCCAUUUUCUCAUCUGGGGAGAGGCAUUUUUGUUACAGGCUCAAGCAAAACUCCAGCAGAUUUCGGAAGGUACUUGUAAAUGGGGCAUUACUUGGUAAUUACCAUGGUGAUUGCUAAAGGGUCAGAGAGUGGCAACGAGAACAAAGGGGCCUAGGGGGAAAAAAACAGGGGCUCUUUGUAAAAGUAUUCAGAUUUUGUCUGCCAGCGCCAAGAAGCUCGAACUAUCCCCACUUUACACUUUGUUUUUUAAAAAAAGACUAUUUACAUCCCUCAGGCAUGGAAUUACAACCUUGUAGCACCGAGUCCUACGGAGCCUCCAUCAGCAUCACCCCCCCAGAGCUGAACCCAGCCGCGGCAGCAGUGGCGCUCUCAGCUCACCCCACUGCCGGGCUGGUUUGGCACCCAGCAGUGCCCUGUGCGUGGCUCGGGCACACGCACGCACACAACGCGGCACUUCUUCGGCCUUUUUAAGCACAAUUUUUCUUUCCUCGAUCAGCGCUUGACACACACUCCCUAGCCUGGACAUCCACCUGGCUGCGCGCAAGGCCGGGAAAGAGCCCAGAGAGGCUACUCAGCUUGAACUGGGAGCUAUUUCCAAGCGGGGGGUUUUGCCUCCAGCCGCACGGCCACGCCGUGGCCGCGCCUUUGUCUCUGCCUGCAAUCCCUGCUGCAGGCUCCGACCCGAAGUCUUUGCUGCCCAGCUCUGCCUCUGACUUGUUUUGUCGCCAAGGGCUUCCCCAGAAAACCCCGAAGAUGAGUCACAAACUUGGCACACAAAAGGGCUGGGUGCCUGAACCUACCUACGAAAACAGCUUACUUUUGUUAUCGAGUCACGCAAAGCGUGCUCAAAGCUGCCGUUUCCAGGGAAGGGCAACAAGUCUUUUGUUUAAUAAUGCUCAGUAAUACAGUUUAUUCGGCGAUUUACCGUGGUUUAAAUAAAAAAAAUAAGGAACAAAAAAG